UACGAAGGGGGCUAGCGUUGCUCGGAAUCACUGGGCGUAAAGGGUGCGUAGGCGGGUCUUUAAGUCAGGGGUGAAAUCCUGGAGCUCAACUCCAGAACUGCCUUUGAUACUGAAGAUCUUGAGUCCGGGAGAGGUGAGUGGAACUCCGAGUGUAGAGGUGAAAUUCGUAGAUAUUCGGAAGAACACCAGUGGCGAAGGCGGCUCACUGGCCCGGUACUGACGCUGAGGUGCGAAAGCGUGGGGAGCAAACAGG
rnacentral:rRNA from 1 species